GGGGUUAUAGCUCAGUGAUAGAGCACGUGCUUAGCAUUCACGACGUUGUGGGUUCAAUCCCCAGUACCUCCG
rnacentral:tRNA from 1 species